rnacentral:rRNA from 1 species
GGAUGCGAUCAUGCCAGCACUAAAGCACCGGAUCCCAUCAGAACUCCGAAGUUAAGCAUGCUUGGGCGAGAGUAGUACUAGGAUGCGUGACCUCCUGGGAAGUCCCCGUGUUGCAUUCC